GACGAACGCUGGCGGCGUGCUUAACACAUGCCAGUCGAACGAAGAGCGAUGGAAGCUUGCUUCUAUCAAUCUUAGUGGCGAACGGGUGAGUAACGCGUAAUCAACCUGCCCUUCAGAGGGGGACAACAGUUGGAAACGACUGCUAAUACCGCAUACGAUCUAAUCUCGGCAUCGAGGAUAGAUGAAAGGUGGCCUCUACAUGUAAGCUAUCACUGAAGGAGGGGAUUGCGUCUGAUUAGCUAGUUGGAGGGGUAACGGCCCACCAAGGCGAUGAUCAGUAGCCGGUCUGAGAGGAUGAACGGCCACAUUGGGACUGAGACACGGCCCAGACUCCUACGGGAGGCAGCAGUGGGGAAUCCUCCGCAAUGGACGAAAGUCUGACGGAGCAACGCCGCGUGAGUGAUGACGGCCUUCGGGUUGUAAAGCUCUGUUAAUCGGGACGAAAGGCCUUCUUGCGAAUAGUGAGAAGGAUUGACGGUACCGGAAUAGAAAGCCACGGCUAACUACGUG
rnacentral:rRNA from 1 species